rnacentral:rRNA from 1 species
GAGUUUGAUCAUGGCUCAGAUUGAACGCUGGCGGCAGGCCUAACACAUGCAAGUCGAGCGGAUGACGGGAGCUUGCUCCUUGAUUCAGCGGCGGACGGGUGAGUAAUGCCUAGGAAUCUGGCCUGGUAGUGGGGAACAACGUUUCGAAGGAACGCUAAUACCGCAUACGUCCUACGGGAGAAAGCAGGGGACCUUCGGGCCUUGCGCUAUCAGAUGAGCCUAGGUCGGAUUAGCUAGUUGGUGGGGUAAUAGGCUCACCAAGGCGACGAUCCGUAACUGGUCUGAGAGGAUGAUCAGUCACACUGGAACUGAGACACGGUCCAGACCUCCGUACGGGAGGCAGCAGGUGGGGAAUAUUGGACAAGUGGGCGAAAGCCUGAUCCAGCCAUGCCGCGUGUGUGAAG